rnacentral:rRNA from 1 species
AUGAAGGUCCAGCCUUCUGUUGCAGAAAAGGUAAGCCUUGGAGUUACCCUUGACAAUCGGGUCAACACCGCGGCAAGAACUAGUGUAUACACCUUCCGUGCUCACGGCCAGUUGUACCACCGUCUAAAGCAUCUAGUACCAGGUGAUCACGGAUGCAGGAAUUUGCAGCUGUACAUUUAUGAUAUAGAUGAAUCCUUGGAACAUAGGGUGAAACGCUCUCCAGAUCUAGAUAUCAACCUCAUACGCAAGAUUCUGCGUAUACUGGAGAACAACCCGUAUGUCAAGACUUAA